CCAGGAUUUAAUCAAGGAAAGGAGGCCAUCAGGAAAAAGACAAUCAGCUUUUGCAGAAUCCUCCCAGUGCACUUAGAGGCUCGGUCACCCUAUUCUUUAACAGCAACAGGAGGCAGAGAACAGAUCAAAAGACCAGCUUCCUUCAGAGGGUAUUUGCAGGUAUGACAGUCUCCCUCCUUUGUUUCAGUCUCAGCUUGUUUCUAGGGAAUAGUGUUUUUCUCAGUGUCAAAGAGAUAGAUGGUAAGUGGCCCACCUAGGAUUUAAAUACCAGUGUAGCUGCUUCAAGAGCUCCCCACCCCCAACUGUAACACACAUCUGAACCCCUUGAAGAUCUGACCAAACACUGCUGACUCACACU
rnacentral:lncRNA from 1 species